UACAGGGGGUGCAAACGUUGCUCGGAAUUAUUGGGCGUAAAGCGCGCGUAGGCGGCUUGGUAUGUCGGGUGUGAAAUCCCCGGGCUCAACCUGGGAACUGCAUCCGAAACUGCCUUGCUCGAGUAUGGGAGAGGGAAGUGGAAUUUCCGGUGUAGCGGUGAAAUGCGUAGAUAUCGGAAGGAACAUCAGUGGCGAAGGCGACUUCCUGGACCAAUACUGACGCUCAGGUGCGAAAGCGUGGGGAGCAAACAGG
rnacentral:rRNA from 1 species